rnacentral:rRNA from 1 species
UACGUAAGUGGCGAGCGUUGUCCGGAAUCACUGGGCGUAAAGGGCAGGUAGGCGGCCCGGUAAGUCUGAGGUGAAAUCCCAGGGCUUAACCCUGGAACUGCCUUGGAAACUGCCGGGCUGGAGGUCCGGAGGGGGAAGCGGAAUUCCGGGUGUAGCGGUGAAAUGCGUAGAUAUCCGGGAGAACACCAAUGGCGAAGGCAGCUUCCUGGCCGGAACCUGACGCUCAACUGCGAAAGCUGGGGGAGCGAACGGG